rnacentral:rRNA from 1 species
UGGGGAAUAUUGCACAAUGGGCGCAAGCCUGAUGCAGCCAUGCCGCGUGUAUGAAGACGGCCUUCGGGUUGUAAAGUACUUUCAGCGAGGAGGAAGGCGUUGUGGUUAAUAACCGCAACGAUUGACGUUACUCGCAGAAGAAGCACCGGCUAACUCCGUGCCAGCAGCCGCGGUAAUACGGAGGGUGCAAGCGUUAAUCGGAAUUACUGGGCGUAAAGCGCACGCAGGCGGUCUGUCAAGUCGGAUGUGAAAUCCCCGGGCUCAACCUGGGAACUGCAUCCGAAACUGGCAGGCUAGAGUCUUGUAGAGGGGGGUAGAAUUCCAGGUGUAGCGGUGAAAUGCGUAGAGAUCUGGAGGAAUACCGGUGGCGAAGGCGGCCCCCUGGACAAAGACUGACGCUCAGGUGCGAAAGCGUGGGGAGCAAACA